UACGGAGGGUGCAAGCGUUAUCCGGAUUUACUGGGUUUAAAGGGUGCGCAGGCGGUAAUUUAAGUCAGUGGUGAAAGCCUACAGCUCAACUGUAGAACUGCCAUUGAUACUGGAUUACUUGAGUAUGGUAGAGGUAGGCGGAAUACAACAUGUAGCGGUGAAAUGCAUAGAUAUGUUGUAGAACACCGAUUGCGAAAGGC
rnacentral:rRNA from 1 species